AGAGUUUGAUCCUGGCUCAGGACGAACGCUGGCGGCGUGCCUAAUACAUGCAAGUAGAACGCUGAAGAGAGGAGCUUGCUCUUCUUGGAUGAGUUGCGAACGGGUGAGUAACGCGUAGGUAACCUGCCUUGUAGCGGGGGAUAACUAUUGGAAACGAUAGCUAAUACCGCAUAACAAUGGAUGACACAUGUCAUUUAUUUGAAAGGGGCAAUUGUUCCACUACAAGAUGGACCUGCGUUGUAUUAGCUAGUAGGUGAGGUAAUGGCUCACCUAGGCGACGAUACAUAGCCGACCUGAGAGGGUGAUCGGCCACACUGGGACUGAGACACGGCCCAGACUCCUACGGGAGGCAGCAGUAGGGAAUCUUCGGCAAUGGGGGCAACCCUGACCGAGCAACGCCGCGUGAGUGAAGAAGGUUUUCGGAUCGUAAAGCUCUGUUGUAAGUCAAGAACGGGUGUGAGAGUGGAAAGUUCACACUGUGACGGUAGCUUACCAGAAAGGGACGGCUAACUACGUGCCAGCAGCCGCGGUAAUACGUAGGUCCCGAGCGUUGUCCGGAUUUAUUGGGCGUAAAGCGAGCGCAGGCGGUUUGAUAAGUCUGAAGUUAAAGGCUGUGGCUCAACCAUAGUUCGCUUUGGAAACUGUCAAACUUGAGUGCAGAAGGGGAGAGUGGAAUUCCAUGUGUAGCGGUGAAAUGCGUAGAUAUAUGGAGGAACACCGGUGGCGAAAGCGGCUCUCUGGUCUGUAACUGACGCUGAGGCUCGAAAGCGUGGGGAGCGAACAGGAUUAGAUACCCUGGUAGUCCACGCCGUAAACGAUGAGUGCUAGGUGUUGGAUCCUUUCCGGGAUUCAGUGCCGCAGCUAACGCAUUAAGCACUCCGCCUGGGGAGUACGACCGCAAGGUUGAAACUCAAAGGAAUUGACGGGGGCCCGCACAAGCGGUGGAGCAUGUGGUUUAAUUCGAAGCAACGCGAAGAACCUUACCAGGUCUUGACAUCCCGAUGCUAUUUCUAGAGAUAGAAAGUUACUUCGGUACAUCGGUGACAGGUGGUGCAUGGUUGUCGUCAGCUCGUGUCGUGAGAUGUUGGGUUAAGUCCCGCAACGAGCGCAACCCCUAUUGUUAGUUGCCAUCAUUCAGUUGGGCACUCUAGCGAGACUGCCGGUAAUAAACCGGAGGAAGGUGGGGAUGACGUCAAAUCAUCAUGCCCCUUAUGACCUGGGCUACACACGUGCUACAAUGGUUGGUACAACGAGUUGCGAGUCGGUGACGGCGAGCUAAUCUCUUAAAGCCAAUCUCAGUUCGGAUUGUAGGCUGCAACUCGCCUACAUGAAGUCGGAAUCGCUAGUAAUAGCGGAUCAGCACGCCGCGGUGAAUACGUUCCCGGGCCUUGUACACACCGCCCGUCACACCACGAGAGUUUGUAACACCCGAAGUCGGUGAGGUAACCUUUUGGAGCCAGCCGCCUAAGGUGGGACAGAUGAUUGGGGUGAAGUCGUAACAAGGUA
rnacentral:rRNA from 1 species